GGGACAUUUUAUGCUCUGUAAUUGGAAUGAUGGGAAUGUAAAACCCUUCCAGAGUAACAAUUGGAGGGCAAGUCUGGUGCCAGCAGCCGCGGUAAUUCCAGCUCCAAUAGUGUAUAUAGAGUUGUUGCAGUUAAAAAGCUCGUAGUUGGAUUUCUGCUGUGGUCAUCCGGUACCGCCCGUAUGGGUGCGCACCUGGUUUGGCUGCGGCUUUCUUCCUGUAGCCGUCCGCGCUUAAUUGCGUGUGCUGCGUUACGGAACUUUUACUUUGAGAAAAAUAGAGUGUUUCAAGCAGGCUUGUCGCCCUGAAUACUUCAGCAUGGAAUAAUAGGAUAGGACCUUGGUUCUAUUUUGUUGGUUUCUAGGACCAAGGUAAUGAUUAAUAGGGACAGUGGG
rnacentral:rRNA from 1 species